rnacentral:rRNA from 1 species
UGGGGAAUAUUGCACAAUGGGCGCAAGCCUGAUGCAGCCAUGCCGCGUGUAUGAAGAAGGCCUUCGGGUUGUAAAGUACUUUCAGCGGGGAGGAAGGCGAUAAGGUUAAUAACCUUGUCGAUUGACGUUACCCGCAGAAGAAGCACCGGCUAACUCCGUGCCAGCAGCCGCGGUAAUACGGAGGGUGCAAGCGUUAAUCGGAAUUACUGGGCGUAAAGCGCACGCAGGCGGUCUGUCAAGUCGGAUGUGAAAUCCCCGGGCUCAACCUGGGAACUGCAUUCGAAACUGGCAGGCUAGAGUCUUGUAGAGGGGGGUAGAAUUCCAGGUGUAGCGGUGAAAUGCGUAGAGAUCUGGAGGAAUACCGGUGGCGAAGGCGGCCCCCUGAACAAAGACUGACGCUCAGGUGCGAAAGCGUGGGGAGCAAACA